AUGGAUGGAGAGGAGAAAACCUGUGGUGGCUGUGAAGGCCCUGAUGCGAUGUAUGUGAAAUUGAUAUCAUCUGAUGGCCAUGAAUUUAUUGUAAAAAGAGAACAUGCAUUAACAUCAGGCACAAUAAAAACCACAUUGGGUGGCCCAGGUCAGUCUGCUGUGAAUGAAACCAAUGAGGUCAAUUUUAGAGAGAUACCUUCGCGUGUGCUAUCAAAAGUAUGCACGUAUUUUAUGUAUAAGGUUCGCUACCCUAACAGCUCCACCGAGGUUCCAGAGCUCCCAAUUGCACCUGAAAUUGCACUAGAACUGUUAAUGGAUGUGAGCUUCCUAGAUUGU
rnacentral:lncRNA from 1 species